AUAAAUAUUCUUUCAAAAUUAAUUAUGUGAUAACUGUAACACUUCGGAAAAUAACAUCUAACUAUUACAAUACAGGUUCUACAUAUUUCUAUACACACUUGGAGUUUUUCAAAACAUUCCUAAUACAUUAUUAGGAUUUGUAGAAAUACAAAUAUUUACAUAUCCACAGCUCAAAAUAAAACUCUGAAACCUCUAAGGCUCUCAUGCACCUGUAUGGUCAUCUGCUCGUGUACAUAGUACAGUCAUCGCAGUUUAAACACAACAAGAAAAGCAAGGGUAAGCUAGUGAAAAAUAGAAUUUUAUAAUAUACACAACUAAAUUAAAAGAGAAAACCAAAUUACAUGAUCAAUUUCUCAAAUUAUUCAAUUUUCUUCAAAUCUCAACAAUAAACAAUCACAUGGAUCUACACAUCUAGAAUAUUCAACAAACAACGUCUUCCGGAAGACCUGUUUUAAGUAAGUCCUACCAGAGACUAACACCUGAUCCAAAGAUUACCAACGAAUCCAACAGAAAGGAUCAGGGUAAGUUCAAUACAACCCAAGCCGUGCAUCUCAUAUGUCACGGUGUGCAUGAACUCCCCCAUCAGCUUCUCACCACCUGAUAUCUUAGUCUAUGUGACUUAGAUCAGUGAAGCUCGGAGAUCUCUGUUACCACAUAGGCAUCAAUACUUAAUACACAGCAAACAUCAGUCCAUACAUUAUCCCAAAUGUAUGAAUUCAAUUCCAUACCAUUAUGUCAUACAAUAUCAUUCAAAAAGUGAUCCACAAUAUUCAAAAGCGUAAUUAACAUAAAAAAACAACACUUAAAUAUUAAACCAUCAAAAUAUAAUAUUUUUACAAAUUUAAAUAAUAUAUAAAAAAAAUAACCCAAUAUAUAAACACACAACAUCCCUACAAGAGAAAUUGAAUAUUGGGACCACGUCCCUUCCGCAUUCAAAUCUUCUAUCCUAGGGUGCUAUUAAAAAUUAAAUUUAGCUUCCCUUACCUCAAUUGCUUGCUUUCCAAGCAACUUUUAGAAUUUUAUUCCCCACGGUCUGGAUAAGCUUCAAGAUUUACGGGCCUAAUGCAAAUUAUCCAAACAGAACAAAAAUUCAGUAUAUAGUAGAAUAAGUUGAGAGGAUUAAACUUCUCAACUGACCCGACCAAGAUUGAUGACUAAAUCCUAAGUAAAAAUAGAGAACAAAGGAACUUUAGAGCAAAAAUGAACUUACUCUGUUUGAAAAUCUGAUCGGGUAGAAAUGUUCCUUAGCUCCUCAGCUACAGCGUGGUAUGAUCAGAUUCUAAAAUAGAUGAAGAUUGGGAGAGAAAAUUAAGAGAGAGGGAGAUAAGAGAAUUGGAGAGAGAGAAUGGAGAUAAGGAAGAAUAAUGUUUGC
rnacentral:lncRNA from 1 species